GACGAAGGAUGCAAGCGUUAUCCGGAUUCAUUGGGUUUAAAGGGUGCGUAGGCGGACUUGUAAGUCAGUGGUGAAAUCUCUCAGCUUAACUGAGAAACUGCCAUUGAUACUGCAGGUCUAGAGUAUAGAUGACGUUGGCGGAAUAUGACAUGUAGUGGUGAAAUACUUAGAUAUGUCAUAGAACACCGAUUGCGAAGGCAGCUAACGAAACUAUAACUGACGCUGAGGCACGAAAAGUGCGGGGGAUCAAACAGG
rnacentral:rRNA from 1 species